rnacentral:lncRNA from 10 species
CCUAGAACAGUGCCUGGCACAUAAUGUGGAUGUCAGUCAAUGUUGGAUUUACUUGUGCUUGUUUAUUUAAAAACUAUUUGGGGUUAGAUUGUCAGGAACCCUGCUACAUGUUGUGUAAGGCUUCUAGUGUGUACGUGUGUGUAUUUCAUAUAAUACAUUUAUGUGUAUGAGCAGUUGGAAUUGAUCACUAAAAUAUUUCUUAAAGGUAAUAUAAGUACAAUUUGGUAUGUUGAGUAUCAUGAAUGAAUCAAUGCAAAGAUUCAAGUAUCUUUGGGUAGAAUCAUGUCCUUUGAAAUGUCAGUGUACAGUAAAAAGGUCUGACAUCAUAACUAGAUUAUAAAUCCUAUACUCUUGUACUCCAAAGUCAGUAUAGUUGGACUGGCUUGUAUGUCCUGUUUGACAAAAUAUAAAUUUUACUUUCCUGUGGCAAUUCCCAAACUGGGCUGACCACUUGGACUUUUAAGAAAAUGUAAGCACUCUUGGGCAUUGACCCAACGAUUUUCAUUCACUAGAUCCUGGGGUGGGGCCUAGGAAUCUGUGUUUUUUAAUAAUUUCCUUUCUGUAGGUGUUUACAUAUAGUCAGUUUCUCUGCUACCCACCUUUCAUGAUAUACUUUGAAAUUUGGUGACAAUCACCUUGGACCUUUUGGGUUCUCUGGAAAUGGUAACCAGUAAGGUAAUUAAUAAUUAAUAUCUUAUACUGGUAGAGGGAAAGAAAUGCUAACAUGUGUCAUACUAAAGAUCUUUUAGGACUAGUGCUGACUUUCUGUUCAUAUAUUUCACUGGAAAGCUAUUGUCAGGACAUUUUGCGGAAGGUGUUUUUUAAAAUGUGGCAUAUUCAUAGAGUUGUAUUGCUGGAAGUUACCUUAGAAAUCAUUUAGCUUAUUCCCUUUUAUAUUUGAGUUAAUCUUAAAAAUGUUAGGGUUAGGGUGUACCACUUAUUAGUUAAGUUGCCUCAUUUCUCUUAGCCAUGGUUUCUUAAGCAUAAGAUGGGAAUGAUAAUACCUACCUACCUUAUAGUUUUUUUUAAGGAUUUAACUGAAAUUCAAAAAAAGUUGCUAGCAUACAUCUUGUUUGUAGCAGUGUAGCAAGUGUUCAGUAAAUGUUUAAUAUUUUGACAUACCUAUAAUAUGAUCUAUGGUAUACAUAAAAGCCAAAAGAGGUAGAAAAAGUUAUAGUAAUUAAGUUCAAGUUAAAAAUGUUGUACACCCACAGGCAGAGUUUUAUUUUUAAAUUAUGGUAUAAUACUUACACAAUACACCAUUUUAAACCAUUUUAACCAUUUUUAAGUAAAUCAUUCAGUGGUGUUUAGUACAGUCAGUGUUAUGCAGUCAUCACUGUCUAGUUUGAGAACAUUCUUAUUACCCCAAAAGGAAACCUGUACCCAUUGAGGAGCCACUUCCUAUUCUUUUCUCUGUAUCCGCUUGCAGCCACUAAUCUAUUUUUUGUCUUUAUGGAUUUGUUUAUUCAGUCUCUUUCAUAUGAGUGAAAUAAUAAAAAAUGACUUUUCACUGUAUAAUGUUUUCAGGGCUUAUCCGUGUUGUUGUGUGUAUCUUACUGCAUAACUUCCAUUUUUUUUAAAUGACCGAAUAACAUUCCAUUGUAUGGAUAUAACAGCCUUGUUUAUCCAGUAAUCAGUUGAUAGACAUUUAGGUCCCUUCCACCUUUUGGCUGUGUGAGUGGAGCUGCCACGAACAUGCAUGUAUAAGUUUUUGUUUGAACACCUAUUUUCACUUUUUGGGUAUACACGUGGGUGUGGAAUUGCUAGGUCUUGUGGUAAUUCUAUGUUUAACUUACUGAGGAAGUCCAAACUGUUUUCCACAGUGGCUGCACCAUUUUACACUCCAUUAGCAAUGUAUGAGGGUUCCAGUUUCUCCACAUACUGGCCAACACUUACUUUCUGUUUUUUUUUUUUUUAAUUAAAUUUUAUAGCCACCCUAGUGUAUCUUAUUGUGGUUUUGAUUUGCAUUUUGCUGAUGGCUAAUGACAGGCAUCUUUACCUGUGAUUUUUGACCAUUCGUAUAUCUUCUUUGAAGAAAUGGCUGUUCAAGUGCUUUGCCCACUGUUUAAUUGGGUUGUCUUUUUGUUGUUGAAAGCAGUCUUUUGAUUAUGAAAUUAAUUUAUGUAUUCUUCUCUAGGGAGCUUAUUUGGAAAUAUAUACUUGGUAAUAUAAAAAUUUAUUUCGGAAUAUAAAAUAAAGGACUGGACUUCAUUACUUUUUAAGUAAACUUUUAUUGGAUGCUUCCUUUUAAUGUAUUUUUUUUUGUAGAAAUGAAAUUGUUUUAAUUUUAUAGCUUAGCCUGAUGCCUGAUUCCAUGCUUGCACUGACUCUCUGUCUGCACUAACAAAUUAUCAGAUUUAUUCCUUUCCAAAAUAUCAUUGAUUUUUUUUCAGAUCAUAGAAUAUUCCUCUCCCAACUUUUUUGUUGACAGCUUUACUGAGGUGUAAUUUACAUGCCAUAAAAUACACCCAUUCUAACUGUACGUAGUUCAGUGAUUUUUAGUCAACUUAACAGCAUUGUACCACAGUUAACACAAUGCAAUAUUAUAGCAUUUCUAUCAUUCUGAAAAGUUUUCCUCAGACCUUUUGGAAGUCAUUUUCUGUUCGCGCCCCUUGGUGAACACUGAUGCUUUCUGUUACUCUUGAUUUGCCUUUUCUGAGUAUUUCACAUAAAUGGAAUCAUAAUGUAUAGUCUUUUGUGACUAGCUUCUCUCACUGAACGUGUUUUUGUGGUUCAUCUGUGUUGUCGCAUGUAUCUGUAGUUCUAUUUUUUAUUACUGAGUAGUAUUUCAUUCUGUGGAUAAUACCACAUUGUGUUUAUUCAUUCACUAGUUGAUGGGGAUUUGGAUCAUUUCUAGUUUUUGACUAUUAUGCAUAAUGAACAUUCAAGUACAAGUCUUUGUGAGGACAUCCUCUUUCAACUUUUUAUUUUGAAAAAUUUAAACCCCACAGAAAGAUUGAAGUAAGUAGUAUAGCAAACACCUAUUUACUCUUCACCUAGAUUGACUAUUAACAUUUGCCUGCUGUUCUUUGCCUUUUUCUAUAAAUAUACCUUUUCCAGAACCAUUUGUAGAUAUUAUACUUUAUCUCUUAUGUAUUUCAGCAUGAAUUUCCUAAGAAUGAGAACAUUCACAUACAUAACCACGAUUUUAUCACACUUAAGAAAAUUAGCAGUAAUCUCAUGUCAGCUACUUUAUAGUCCAUAUUGAAACUUGUCCCAAAAA